rnacentral:lncRNA from 1 species
GGUACGAUGCGGCUUCAUACCCUUAGAGGUAUGAAGGCAGAGGACAUAUGCAUUGCAUUCAUAUGCAUUCAUUGAAGUGAUAUUUGCAGAUGAUGUGGUUUUAUACCCCCAGAGGUAUGAAGAUAGAGUACCUACACAUUGCAUUCCUAUGCAUACAUUGAAGUGAUAUUUGCAGGUAUUGUUGACGCAGGGAAGUGUUAUAGAACCUAUUGUGGUUGUUCGAGGAAAUGAGAUGGUAUUGGUUAUAGUGGGACUACUGAGUUCUAUAUCUACAAGUAUUUCUGAUUUUUUUUAUUGUUGUGACUCUUUUAAAAUGUUGAUGAAUUCAAUUUGUGGUUUAGAUAUCUCGUCAGAACAAUUAGCUUGCUGAGAUGUUUCAUCUCACUCUUGCAUUACUCAAUGCAGGUGCUUGUUGCUCAUCAAGGGGAGUGGGAAGUAGCAGCACAUCCACCUUCACUCUCAUAAUAAUGCAACCCAGACACAGCCAUGAUUUAGUUAGAAACUUCUUGUCAAAGGAUGUUUGUUUUUAACUAGUCGUGCACACUGAUUAAUUCAGUUCAUUGUUGUUAUGGUUGUCUUCCCAUUGCUAGCAGAUUCUUAAUGUCUUAUAUGUUUUCUUAUCAUGAUAUCUAUUUAUACUUUGUUGCUUCCCCCGUUUAUGCAAUUUUCAAAGGAGAUGCUGUCGAAAUUUUAUAUAUGAAUGUUAGAUGUGUAGUUUAGUAGCAUCCUGGGGUGUUUGUGGAUCCCGGGGUGUUACAGUUGGUAUCAAAGCAUAGGCUUUAGAUUCUUGGCAAUUUGAAGAUAAAUUUGACACACUUGCACAUAUAGGAAGGGUAUGGGUUCAAAUAUCUUUGAUAUAUAUUAAUGUCUUUGGAGUGCAGAUGACAAUAGUUUCACCCCUCCCUAUUCCUUUACGGUGAUGUGGUAAGUUGUUUAUGGCUUAAUGCUUGAUAUAAUUUAUUUCUGAAAUUUUGAUAUUGUUUUAUUAAUGCGGUAGGUAUCGCUGGUCAUUGGUGAGAAUGAAGUUGUUAUUAUGCUUGUGAUAUACAAGUAUGCCUAUGUUGUUUUCACCAUGUUUUUCAUGGUUGAGUUUUAUUACAAUAAUAUUGUUAUAUAUGCUUGAUUGUGGAUGUUUCUAAGAGGAGUGUGAAUUGCGUGUUUUGGGGUACAAGGUAAUCAUCAAUUUGAAUUUAAGUUGUUGAGCGGUUGGUGGAUAGCUCCAACUAUCAUUGCAAAGAAUGAUUGUUUAUGUUGAGAAACCAGUUUUGAAAGAAAUGAAUAUUGGUACUUUAUAUGGAUUUUUGGGGGAAGUCUUUUCAUAGCCAGAAUGGCUUACAUGUCUCUCUCAUAUUGUGUGUUCUAGUUGCCACAAAGCCUAGAUGUGGUUUAAAGUGGUUGCCUGUUAGUCAUACUAAUUGUAGAAUAAAUCUUUGAUUCUCUUGAUCCAUUGAUUAUGUAUUGAUACAUUGAGGAUCUGAUGGUUCCCUUUUCGAUGCAUGCUUGUGGAGCCAUUUUUUUAGACCACCUAUCUAUUGGUUUGAAGGAAGUCCUUGCCUAGCCUAGAGUUGGUUGGGUGUGGCUAGUCACCUACUCCUAGAUGAUGUGGUGUUUACAUCAGCUUAAUAUGUUUGUCAAAUGUGUGAAGGAUUAGGGGUUAUUAUUAUUGACUUUGUAUGUCUGGUACUUUGAGUGCAUCGUAUGAUAGAAUGAAAUGUAAGUUUCUGAACUACAGUAGAUGAAGACUUAUAUUAUGUGUAGGUUAUCCUUACUAGUUGGAUAUUUUUCUUAGUUGAGAUGUUGAAUGAAGUAUAGUGACAUGGGUUAAGCAAGUAUUGUGUUGUUGUUGGGCUAUCAGUGCUCUAUGUAGAGUUUUUUGGCAUUUCUUCGAAAAACUAUGCCGCACAAGAUGUUAUUGGCUUCUUUUGGCUUUAUUGCUCCAUUAGUUCUAUAGAUUUUCUCCCUUUUGGUGGGGUGCAAGGAAUGUUAGAUUACAUGAUUAUCUUUUCAUGAUGGCAAGAAUAAGGUUUAGGAAGAUUAGGAGUUUUGUUCCAAUGGAACUACUUGUUUCAUGAUGCUUUAAGGUGAGGUGUUUGAUCUUCUUAUACAUUCGUCGGGUGUAGAUGUUUCACCAUUUAAUUAAAAUUAAUGGUUGAAGUUGGUAAGGGUUGUGCUUGGUCCAUAUUACCCCUUCAUAAAAGAGUGUUGUCUUAAGACAUUGAUGUUGAUGUAUAGCUGCAUCCAAAUUUGAUGGUGUGAAAUUGUAGUGUUGAUUGCAACUAUGACAUGCUUUGAGCUUCAUUACAUGUUGUUUCAUGCUUGAUGUCAGGUCGUGUAGUUUCCUUAGACAAUUAGUCCAAGGUAGAAGUUCUUGUGUUAAUUAAGACCAAUAAUUGAUCCAUGUUUUGAAUUGUGGUGCUAUAUGGGGUACCUUGGGUGUUUUGCUUGGAGUGGCCGAAUUCGAGGUCGAAUUCUUUUUAAGGGGGGUAGAGUGUAAUAUCCCAAAAAAAUGUUGACCAAAAGUUAAUCUCUGGUGCGUGGAUGAGGUAAAGGGUUGUGGGCCAUUGGAUGCAAAGAUAGAAGUCAUCUGAGGCGUCGUUUCUUUCUCCCACAAAAACCCUAGGUGGCCACCCCUUUUUUUCCCUUCACCCCCCCCCCCUCUUGGCCGCCACCCCCUUUUCUCCCCCUUGGCUGGACGCCCCCUCCCCCUAUGGCAGCCAUCAUCCAUUGCUUCCUCCCCCAAGAUCUUCCCCUACGCAGCAAGGAUCGAGAAAAGGAGGGGCACGUUGAAUUGAAGAGGAAGAGAGGAUCAAGGAGAUGUUCUUCCCCAUCUCUUCUUGAAGAUUUCUUGGGGAAACCCUAGGUAUGGAUGAGAUCCUUGUUCCUCCCUGUAAUUAUAGGCUUUUGGAGGUUGUGGAUCAUGGGAAUUGAAGGAUUAGAGGUUGGAUUUGAUGUGGGGUUAGGUUUUGAUCCCGAAUUUAGUUUUCUGCAGAAUGGCAGAUUCGACAGUUUCUGUUCAUGCCAGUUUUCCGUGGUCUUAGUGGCCUCAAAAAAAUGAAAAGUCUAUGUAUGAGUCGUAGAUGAUUUGUAGAUCUUUCCGUGGCCGCGAAGAACACCUCAAUCGGACAUCCGACCAGAAAGUUAUUGCAGUUUUACUAUAGCAGUUUUUCAGUCUCAUAAUUCUGUGCAGAAUCUGUUCUCUUAAGAUUUAGGAAAUUUUAUCAACAGAAUUAAACUGUGGGUUGGUAAAAGAAGUUGUAGAUAAUUUCAUAAGCUUUCCAGAUUGUUAAAGAGUGCAUUCAUAUGAUUUGUGAAACUCCAGUUAUGUUUGUUUUACUGUGGCUGUUCCUGUUUACCUGACAAAAAUGAGUGGGUCUGUUCACUGGUGGGUUUCAUCUAGUAAAUGGCCGAAUUGGCUCUUCCAACUAUGGAGACUUUUGUAGAGGGAUAACAGUUCUUACUUCCAGCAGAAUUUCAUAAUUUUUGGUUCAGUAGUUUGGGAGAUAUCGAAUUUUAAAGUUAACCAUACUGCUGUCUAAAACAGGUUCAGUCAGUUAUCUUGUUAGAUGUUUUAGAACUUGUAGAUGGCAGAAUUUAAUUAUCUAUUGAAUACUAAAGUUGUAGAGUAUUUUGUGUAGAUACUCCUAGAGUAUUUGUUUGAUAUCACUGCUGUUUUAAUUUUAAAGAUACAAAAUUAACAAACAGCGUUGUUGCUGUAUGGCAUGUGGUUCAGGGUGGGAGUCUUUCCACUGGGUCUUGGUUUCAAUUGUAGGAGUGUUUUGUUGAUUGAUGGCAAAUGUUUGUGAAAUAUUUGUACUAAGUUUUAUGCCCACUAGCAGGUGGCUACACUCCAGAUCAUGUCUAGUACAUUUCUUCUUCUUCGAUGAAGGCAAGUGAAUGUAGCGGUGGUUGCAUCCGUUCUGACCUGUUAUUUCUAUUGCCUACACUCUAAUAUUCAGAAGUAUCAGAUUCUUUCAUAAUUGGACUCUAUGGUGAUGCUUUACUUGCUUGCAUUAUACUGAUGCUCAAUCAUAUAUUGAUGAUGAUUAUGAUUUGAGUAUGACUCACGAGAUUAAUUCACAUAUCUGAAGGUAAAUGAAGUAUUAUUUGAGGUUGGUAUUGUAUCUGAAGGUAAAUGAAGUAUUAUUUGAGGUUUGUGUUGUAUCUGAAGGAAGUGAAGUUUAUUGAUAAAUGUAGCAUGCCAUAUACAUUGCAUGACUCAUUUGCAUAUGAAGUUUUGUCGUGACCUAUGGUCCGACCGUACCGGUACAACUUAGCAUCGUACGUUGCCCGAGAAGGGGUACGAUGCGGCUUCAUACCCUUAGAGGUAUGAAGGCAGAGGACAUAUGCAUUGCAUUCAUAUGCAUUCAUUGAAGUGAUAUUUGCAGAUGAUGUGGUUUUAUACCCCCAGAGGUAUGAAGAUAGAGUACCUACACAUUGCAUUCCUAUGCAUACAUUGAAGUGAUAUUUGCAGGUAUUGUUGACGCAGGGAAGUGUUAUAGAACCUAUUGUGGUUGUUCGAGGAAAUGAGAUGGUAUUGGUUAUAGUGGGACUACUGAGUUCUAUAUCUACAAGUAUUUCUGAUUUUUUUUAUUGUUGUGACUCUUUUAAAAUGUUGAUGAAUUCAAUUUGUGGUUUAGAUAUCUCGUCAGAACAAUUAGCUUGCUGAGAUGUUUCAUCUCACUCUUGCAUUACUCAAUGCAGGUGCUUGUUGCUCAUCAAGGGGAGUGGGAAGUAGCAGCACAUCCACCUUCACUCUCAUAAUAAUGCAACCCAGACACAGCCAUGAUUUAGUUAGAAACUUCUUGUCAAAGGAUGUUUGUUUUUAACUAGUCGUGCACACUGAUUAAUUCAGUUCAUUGUUGUUAUGGUUGUCUUCCCAUUGCUAGCAGAUUCUUAAUGUCUUAUAUGUUUUCUUAUCAUGAUAUCUAUUUAUACUUUGUUGCUUCCCCCGUUUAUGCAAUUUUCAAAGGAGAUGCUGUCGAAAUUUUAUAUAUGAAUGUUAGAUGUGUA